AGCUUUAUGCUCUUAUAUAAAGUAACUCCUGCUCAGUGAAUAUCAACAGCCGCAGAACUUUAUACUGUGCUAAGGUAGCAUAAUCACUUGUCUUUUAAUUAAAGAAUAGAAUGAACGGAAAAACGAAUUUUAACCUAUUUCAUUUAUUUAUAAUAAAAUUACCAAAAAGUAAAAACUCUUUUUUUUAAAAAAAAGACGAUAAGACCCUAAAGAACUUUACUUAAGUUAAGCUGGGGCGGCUUUUUAAAAAAAUCUUAUUCUAAAAUUUCAAAUCCUUCCUCAAUUACACAACGUUACCUUAGGGAUAACAGCAUAAUUUAAUUUUAUAGCUCUUAUUUAAAAUUAAGAUUAUGACCUCGAUGUUGAAUUAAAAAUCUUCUAAACGAAAAAAUCUAGAAAGAAAGUCUGUUCGACUUUUAAUAAAUUACA
rnacentral:rRNA from 1 species